GAUGAACGCUAGCGGCAGGCUUAAUACAUGCAAGUCGAACGCCCCGCAAGGGGAGCGGCAGACGGGUGAGUAACACGUGGGAAUCUACCCAUCCCUGCGGAACAACUCCGGGAAACUGGAGCUAAUACCGCAUACGCCCUACGGGGGAAAGAUUUAUCGGAAUUAGAUGAGCCCGCGUAAGAUUAGCUAGUUGGUGAGGU
rnacentral:rRNA from 1 species